ensembl:lncRNA
GGACAGGGGCUGGGGACACCGGACAGGGGCUGGGGACACCGGAGAGGGGCUUGGGGACACCGGGCAGGGGUGUAAGGACAGCUGGCAGGGGUGUGGGGACAUCGGGCAGGGGUCCAGGGACACCGGACUGUGGGGGACACCGGGAAAUGGGGCCCGGGGACACCGGACACCGCCUUGGGGACACCGGACAGGGGCUGGGGACACCGGACAGGGGCAUGGGGACAUCGUGCAGUGGUCUGGGGACAUCGGGCAGUGGCUUGGGGACAUCAUACGGGGGUCUGGGGACACUGGGCAGGGGUCCAGGGAUGCUGGGACACUGGACAGGGAACUGGGGACACCAGAGAGGGGCUGGGGACACACAGAGUGUCUUGGUGACAUCAUAGGGGGGCUGGGGACAUCGGGCAGGGGGCUGGGGACACACGGAGGGUCUCGGUGACAUCGGAUAGAGGCUUGGAGACACCAGGCAGGGGACUGGGGACACUGGGCAGGGGUCUGGGGACACCGGGCAGGAGCCUGGGGACACGCACGGGGACUUGGGGACACCGGACAAGGUGUUGGUGGCACAGAACCGGGUGCUGGUGGCACAGAACUGGGUGUCGGUGACAGAACCGGGUGUCGGUGACACAGAACCGGGCGCUGGUGGCACAGAACCGGCUGUCGGUGACACCGGAGAGGGCGCUGGUGACACGGGACGGGGUCCGGGUGGCACCGGGCAGGCUCCGGGUGACACCGGAGAGGGCGCUGGUGACACGGGAUGGGCUCCGGGUGACACCGGAGAGGGCGCUGGUGACACGGGACGGGCUGUUGGGGACACCAGAGAUGGCGCCGGUGGCACCGGACGGGGCGCUGGUGGCACCGGAGAAAGUGAUGGUGACACCGGAGGUGGCGCCGGUGGCACCGGGCGGGGAUCGGGUGGCAGGGACAGGACCGGUGGCACCGGACACGGUGGAUGGGGACACCGGAGAUGGCGCCGGUGGCACCGGGCAAGGCUCUGGUGGCACCGGAGAAAGUGCUGGGGACACCGGAGAUGGCGCCAGUGACACCGGGCGAGACCAUGACGGGCCGAGCGCCGCCCUCCGGCCUCCAGAUCCGCUUCAUCGACCGCCUGGAGGAAAAAAACCCCAAAAAAACCCCCAAAAACCCCCAAAACCCAAAUUUCCCAAAUGCCCCGACGAGCCCAAACCCUCCGGGGAUCCCCAGAAAUUCGGGAAUCGCCAGGAAUUCCGGGAUUUCCUACGGGGUGGCCGUGAGGGUCCAGGGCAUCGCGGGCCAGCCUUUCGUGGUUCUCAACAGCGGAGAAAAGCGGCAGGAGAGUUUCGGGGUCCAGAUCAAGGCGGGAAAUUUGGGGUUUGAUGGGGUGGGAGAGGGAAAAACGGGGAGAAAUUCACGUUUCGGGGAGGUUGGGGAGGAGAAAACGCGAAAAAAUUGGGGUUUGGGGGAGGUUGGAGAGGCAGAAAUGGUGAAAAAUUCACAUUUUGGGGAGGUUGGGGAGGGAAAAAUGGGGAAAAAUUCACAUUUUGGGGAGGUUGGGGAGGGGAAAAUGGGGAAAAAUUCACAUUUUGGGGAGGUUGGGGAGGGGAAAAUGGGGAAAAAUUCACGUUUUGGGGAGGUUGGGGAGGGGAAAAUGGAAAAUUCACGUUUUGGGGAGGCUGGAGAAGGAAAAAUGGGAAAAAGUCGGGAUUUUGAUGAGGUCAGAGAGGGAAAAAUGAGACGAAAUUCCGAUUUUGAGGAUUUUCGGGCUCCUAAAACGGCCCCAGAUCCCGAUUUCGAGGAGUUUGGAGAUCCAAAAAUGCCCCAAAAUCCUUACGGGAACAAAGGGGAAAGAGGAUCCCAAAAAAUCCCAAAAUUUUCGGGUGAGGAAUUUGGGGGGUCCCAAGAAAUUCCGGAAUUUUCUGAUGAAGAGUUUGAAGGAUCCCGAGAAAUUCCAGAAUUUUCGGAUGAGGAAUUUGGGGGAUCCCGAGAAAUCCCGAAAUUUUCGGAUGAGGAGUUUGAAGAAUCCCAAAAAAUCCCGGAAUUUUCGGGUGAAGAAUUUGAAGGACCCCGAGAAAUCCCGGAAUUUUCGGAUGAGGAAUUCGAAGAAUCCCAAAAAACCCCAAAAUUUUUGGGCCGACCCUCCCGACCUCGGGACGACCUUCGCCGUUCCCGAUCCCACGACGACCUUUCUGCUCCUUUGCCCCAAAUCCCCCAAAAUUCGGGGAAAAUCCCCCAAAUUCCCCAAAACUCGGGAAAAAACCCUCGGGAAAUCCCCAAAAAUCCCGAAAAAACCGACGGAAAAAUCCCCAAAAAUCCGGGAAGAAACAGUCGGGAAUUCUCCGAAAUGGUGGAAAAAAACGACGGAAAAACCCCCAAAAACCCCGAAAAAAACGACGGAAAAAUCCCCAAAAAUCCCGAAAAAAACGACGGAAAAAUCCCCCAAAAUUCCGGCGACGUCGACACGGAACCUCUGAGCUCCGUCGAUUCCCUCAUUUCCAAAUUCGACCCAAAAGUUGGGAAUCUUUGGCCUCGGGGCCGAAGGAACCGAAGGGUCGAGCCCGGGAAACGCUCCCGGAGUUUGGAAUCCCGAAAUUCCCGAGAAUCCCUCGGGGUCCGACGGGAAAUUCCCGAAUUUUCCGCCGGCGGGGACGAGCGGAACGUGGAGAUCGAGCUGAAAUCCACCCCGGACCUGCUGCGGGACCAGCGGGAACUGGGGGCAGGAGAAAAACCCGCCGAGCUCAUCUACGGGAUCCUCAGAGAGGGGUGAGCCCCAAAAACGGCCCAAAAUGCCCCAAAAAUACCAAAAAUCUGCAUUAAAAAUCAUAACAUCCAAAAUUGCCCCAAAAUUGCCCAAAUUCCCCCAAAAUUCCCCCAAAACUUCCUUAAAUCUCCUCCAAAUUUCCCCAAAUCCCCCCAAAACCUCCCCAAAUUCUCCCCAAAUCCCAAAAAUUUCCCCCAAAAUUCCCCAAAACCCCCCCCAAAUCUCCCUAAAACCCCCAAAUCUCCCUAAAACCCCCCAAAUUUCCCAAAAUCCCCCCAAAAUCUCCCCAAAUCCCA